rnacentral:rRNA from 1 species
AGCCCUAAGGAUUUAUUUAGGGUAAUACCUGCCCAAUGAGAAAUUAAAUGGCCGCGGUACUUUGACCGUGCUAAGGUAGCAUAAUCAAUUGACUUUUAAAUGAAGUCUGGAAUGAAAGGGGGAACGGAAUUUAGCUGUCUUAAUUUAUUUAAUUUGAAUUUACUAACUAAGUGAAAAGGCUUAGGUAAGAUAAAAGACGAGAAGACCCUAAGAGUUUUAAAUAUAUUUUUGUUGGGGCGACAUAGGGUCAAUACAUAACACCCUUAAUAUAUAUGACGGAUUUUUCAUGUUAAGACAAACUACCUUAGGGAUAACAGCAUAAUUCUUUUGAGUUUGUGACCUCGAUGUUGGACUAGGAAGCUCUUAGGCUAGCUGCCUAAUGGGGGGAUUCUGUUCGAAUUUUUACUCCU